rfam:Gossypium raimondii Chr10_contig_170, whole genome shotgun sequence.
UAUUAAAAUUUUCAUCCAUUUUGUAUUGUUGAAAACUGGCAUGGUUGACAGAAUAACCAAACAACAAUAUGCGGUGUGUCACGUUUACCUCAUGCUAACGUACAUGAGCCAUAUUUUAAUAGUAGAAACGGAUAAAACUUUUAACA